CCUACGGGAGACAGCAGUGGGGAAUAUUGCACAAUGGGGGAAACCCUGAUGCAGCGACGCCGCGUGAGUGAAGAAGUAAUUCGUUAUGUAAAGCUCUAUCAGCAGGGAAGAACAUGAAGUUACCUGAUUAAGAAGCCCCGGCCAACAACGGGCCAGCAGCCGCGGUCAUACGUAGGGGGCAAGCGUUAUCCGGAGUGACUGGGUGUAACGGUAGCGUAGACGGCAGGGCAAGUCUGGCGUGAAAGGCGGGGGCGCAACGCCCGGACUGCUCUGGAAACUGGACGGCUGGAGUGUAGGAGAGGAAAGUGGAAUUCCAAGUGUAGCAGUGAAAUGCGUAGAUAUUAGGAGGAACACCAGUGGCGAAGGCGGCUUACUGGAAUGUAACUGACGUUGAGGCGCGAAAGCGUGGGGAGCAAACAGGAUUAGAUACCCGAGUAGUC
rnacentral:rRNA from 1 species